CCUACGGGAGACAGCAGUGAGGAAUAUUGGUCAAUGGGCGAGAGCCUGAACCAGCCAAGUCGCGUGAAGGAUGACGGCCCUACGGGUUGUAAACUUCUUUUGUCAGGGAGCAAUUUGGUCCACGCGUGGGCUUAUCGAUAGUACCUGAAGACAAAGCAUCGGCUAACUCCGUGCCAGCAGCCGCGGUAAUACGGAGGAUGCGAGCGUUAUCCGGAUUUAUUGGGUUUAAGGGGUGCGCAGGCGGCCUGUUAAGUCAGCGGUAAAAGCCCGGGGCUCAACCCCGGCGAGCCGUUGAAACUGGCGGGCUGGAGUGGGAGAGAAGUACGCGGAAUGCGCGGUGUAGCGGUGAAAUGCUUAGAUAUCGCGCAGAACCCCGAUUGCGAAGGCAGCGUACCGGCUCCAAACUGACGCUGAGGCACGAAAGCGUGGGUAUCGAACAGGAUUAGGUACCCCGGUAGUC
rnacentral:rRNA from 1 species